rnacentral:misc_RNA from 1 species
AAGAAUGCGAUAUGCAAUGUGAAUUGCAGAACCAUGAAUCAUCGGAUCUUUGAACGCAACUGGCGCUGAUUUAAAUCAGCAUACUUGUUUCAGUGUGCGCAAACAAAUAACCAACUCAAAUGUGAGAGAAGUUCUCUCAUGAAGUAAAUGCUCCCUGCAGCAAUCACACUUGUUGUGAGCUGUGCGGAAACCUCAAGCCUUAUUUGCACCUGAAAUCAAGUAAGAAGACCCGCUGGACUUAA